AGUUUCAAAAGACGAAAAUUGAAUUCGGGGUAAACACAUACUUAGAUGCACAUUGACAUGUAUCAUAAGUUCUGCAUGUAUGAUGUUAUUGUCAAAACGUUUAUAUACCAUAUGUGUACUAUUACAUAAGCUAUUCAAUAGAUCUGAGUUUUCAAUAGUAUGAUGGGCAUAAACCUAUAUGCAAUGGAAGACCAAUUUUAACUUAGUUUAUUAUAUAUAUGGUGACACUAAUAUAUGUAAUAAAUAAUGAACUUGACAACAAACAUGUAAGGUAGAAGGCCAAUUGGUAUUUAUGUAAUUAAUUAUUUUUCAUGGUAGUUAUUGUUAGUAUCAUCUUAUGUCAAAACUAAUUUUUUUUUUUUUUUUACCCAAAAAUGUAAUUAAUUAUUUUUCAUGGUAGUUAUUGUUAGUAUCAUCUUAUGUCAAAACUAAUUUUUUUUUUUUUUUACCACAAAACUUAGCAAUCAACCUUUUAUUUAGUCGAUCAACAUAAUUAUUUCUGAUAGCUAAGAUAGCUCUUUAAUUCCUAACAUGCAAUUUGUACAAAUUGUAUUUUAAUCUAAUGAUGAUAAUACUUUUCUUAUUAAAUGUUCUACUAUUACCAUUGAGGUUGAUAACCAAGUAUUAUAGAAGAACCAAAUUAUCUUUAAUUGGAUGCUCUUCUUCGUUCCGACGCGAAGCGAGAAGUCACUGAAUGCUGGAUGUGUUCUUACUUUUAUAUUCUUGUCAUUUGAAUAUUUUUUUAUUUGAGGUCGUAAGUAUAAUUUGGGCAAGCUAACUUUUAUAGUUUCUGCUUUGAUCAAUUUUGGAACUGAUGAUCGUACUUGACAAAAUCACCUCCCAAACUAUAACGUUUCUACCAAACGGUUCAUUGAUAUCUAAUAAAUCUCUAAAACUUUAGGCAAUUAUUUCGACCAUCUGACGCUUAGCCAAAAAUACUUCACCCUAUAUUAUCUCUUUUUCUUUCCUUAUAAGUUUAGUACAAUUGAUCUAAUUUAAUACAUUUUUGAUGGUUAUUUCAGUUAUUUAAAGAGGUAUAUCAAAUCUAAAGUGAAUUGUACGACCUCAUAAUAAAAUUGUUAUUGGUACACCACUUGUUCGUAUUGCUAAUAAUAUCAUGCAUCUUGAUCUCACAUUUGCAAGUAACGCAUAACAUAUGAAUAUUAUUUCGAUUUCGCCGGAGGCAUCUAAGAGGAUAAUCCCGCGGUACCAGGAUCAAUUUUUUAUAAUAUAGUCUUGAAAGUUUAUUUUUGUUCACGAUUUAGCUUUGAUUGUGCUUCCUUAAAUACUUGUAUGACCUUCUUAAUAUUAUAUUUUUUCAACUUGAGAAGUAAUUUUACUUAUACGAUGAAUUUUAAAAAAAAAAUUGGAUUGUAUAGAUAAAUAGUUAAUUGAAAGAUUUAGUUAUUUUAUUUUUAACAUAAAGUGUAAUUCAUUUUCUGUUGAUUUAGAUUAUUAAUAAUAGUUCAUCUCAUGUUUGAUUAAUUAACCGUGAUUAUAAUUGUAUCCACCAUAAAUUUUAUUUUCAAAGAGUGAAAGGUCUAUGUCAUUCCAAUUUUUGAUCUUUAUGUUUGCAAAAUCAUUAGUGGUAUUGGGUCUUCUUUUAUUUUUAAAGAGUGAAAGAUCUAUGGCAUUCCACGUUUAGAUGUUUAUAUUUGCAAAAUCAUUAGCGAUAUUGGGACUUGCCAAUUUUUUUUCUUUUCUCACACAUUUGUUAAAAAGUUUCUUAGUUGUUUUCUAAUAAUUGGGUUAUAUUACACAAAAAAGUAAUAAUAAAAGAAAAUUAUUUAAGCAAGAAAGUAAUUUAAAUAUAAUAUAAUAAAUUAUUAUCGUGGUAAUUUUUCUUCUCAAUUUCAAUGCUUUAUAUAUGUAAUCCUUUUAACAUUACUUUUAUUUUUUUGGUAUUGAUUAUUAUAAAGUGGUAAUGUGUUACCAAUAUGGAAGAUUCUUAUGAAAUUGAUUUUAUUAAACCUUCCUACAUAUUUUUAAUAAGAAUGUAAUAGACAAGAUUGUAUUAAUUUCAAAAUCUUAAAUAUUAAAAA
rnacentral:lncRNA from 1 species